rnacentral:tRNA from 1 species
GCCCCGUUAGUCUAGUGGUCAGGACGCUGGCCUCUCACGCCGGAGUCAGGGGUUCAAUUCCCCUACGGGGUACCA